UUACGACCACAUCACGUUGAAACACCGGCUCCCAUACGUUCUUCAAAGGUAAGCAACGUCGAGCAUGAUCAGUACCUUGAUGGGUGACCGCUUGGGAAUACCAAGUGAUGUAAG